UCAUUCACUCAGUACAGAGCCACGCCUCCUGUCACUCACUCAGUACAGAGCCACGCCUCCUGUCACUCGCUCAGAGCAGAGCCACACAUCAGUGGCAGGCCUCUAGACGCUCUUUCGGUCCGGUUGAAGAGUUUUUGUUAUGAUAUGACAACUAAUAUGACAACUUUGGCACAUUUGUCAGCAAAACAUUCAUUCAGUGUUUCCCAUUAAUUACCCUAUGCCGCCAUUAGUAAUGAACCGAAAAUUUUAAACAUACAUAGCCUAAAUGGUCUCUAACGUUGUAUUUUGCCAAUUAACUAAAAUCGAAAUUGAUAUGGCUUUGUGCCUUUAUAAAACAGCAAAAUACAGUGAUUACGUAAAUAUACAGUCUGUCUGUGCUGCGUGUUUUAAAGAGAAGUGUGCACAUUUGGUCAUGAGAUCAGCUGGUUGCUCAACAUAUGUUUGUAAUGUUGUCUGUUCAUGCCUUGUCUGCCUUGGAGUUAAUGUUAUUGCCUUGUCUGGAUUUAUGGUUUGUCUGCUUAGAGUAUUCACUGCCUUUCCUGGAUUCAUGUCUAGCCUGUUUGUGGAUUAUUGUGAAUGAACACAUAUGGAAUAAACUGUUUGCAUUUAGAUCCUUAUCUCUCUUUAUUCGAGACAUCACUGCAGACGUGACAAUAAUGCAAUGAGGUCUGCAAAAAAAAAAAGCUUAUUUUUCAAGUUUGAUUGACCACAACAAAGACAACCAUAGAUACAUAUUCCCCGCUAUCGAUAGGCUGCAGGCUAUAAGAAAAAACUAUUUUCAAUACACAAAAAAGAAACGAACUCCAACCACCAGUUUACCCAGACAUUAGAAAAACAAGCAAUAAAAAUUGCCAGAGAGGAAAAGAAAAUUAUAAUAUGAAAAGAAAAAAAAGAUCAUUAUAAAUAAUAAUAAAAAAAAAUUAUAUAUAUAAUAACGAAUAAAAUUAUCGACAAAGAAUGUCUGGUAAACAAUAAAUCAGCCUUAUGACAUUUAAUAACUAACCAUCACUAAUGAAAAAGCAUAUUUAAAUAAAUAAACAUAUAGGAAAUAUCUAAAAGAAAAACACAAAAUAAGAAUAUGACUAGUAUAUGUAGGCUACAAUACGUACUGAAGCAAGUCCGUAAACCACCCAAUGAGUGUCCAUAUGAAAGAGAUACUGUAGGCCGUCGUCUAUUUCAAGAGUCCGAUCCUUCAACCUGCGACAGCAGGGACUUGACAUAUGCUUCUGCUUCAUCUAGACCAGGGAUGUCCAAACUCGGUCCUGGCAGAGUUUAGCUCCAACUUGCCUCAACACACCUGCCUGCAAGUUUCCUGUAUGCCUAAAAACCUUGAUUAGCUGGUUCAGGUGUGUUUAACUGGGGUUGGAGCUAAACUCUCGAGGACAGUGGCCCUCCAGGAGCAGGAUUGGACACCCCUGAUCUAGACGAAUGAACUGCUUCUCCAAGCCAUUGUAUGUGACGCACAGGCGGGCUGGAUGCAGAAAUCCAGACUUGAUUCCGGAGAUUCCCCGUAGUUGCCGACGCACAUCCCCAAAUGCUGCUCGAGCGCGAGCUAACUUAGAAGUGAGGUCAGGAAAGAAAGAUAUUGACAUGUGCCCAACUUUGAAAUGCCUCGACUCCCUUGCUUGACGCAGAAUGUCAACACAGUCCGAGUGAUAAUGAAGCUUGGUGACGAUGACGCGUGGCCGUUCAUGGGGUUUAGGUUUAGGCUGCAGCGUGCGAUGAGAUCUGUCCACAAUGAUAUCUUUAUCGAGGCGAAGUGCGUCCCUGAGUAACUUGGAGACUACCGCAGGUGUAUCCUCAGGGACUCCCACUGAUAUUAUUUCGGCGCAUAGACCUUCACAAGAGUCGAGUUAUGAUGAGAUCAACUUCAGCUGAAUGCAAAAAGAUCACACUUCAGCUCACACCUCACCUCAGAGUUAUAAAAAGCAACUUCAUCCUCCUCAUAUGUUUGUUUGAAGAGUCGUUGUUGUCUAGCUGAGAGCAAAUUAAUUUUUUCGAUCUUCUCUUUUCUCAUCGUUGCUCUUGAGCUCCUAAAAUACAGAAAACCUCAGAAUCUGACAAAAACAGAGAACAGUAUUUCAGCAUCUGUUCUUCAUCUGAGGGAUUUGACUGAAUCAAGAUGCUGCUGAUCAUUGAAGCUCUUCUUCUCAUUUCAUCUGCUCUAGGACGGGACCACAGCUGCUGUUGAAGAAAAGACAUUUCCACUGGAUAUGACACUGAAUUCUGUUGAUGAUCAAUAUUUUGGCUGUAGAGAGAACAUGACAAAACAGGUGGAGAAAAAGUAUCUGUGACUGAAAAAUCACAUUACUUGACCAGUUUGACACUCCAAACACUGGUUCAAAUCAAAAGAUUUGUAAAGGCUUAUAACAUUUAAGACCCAUGCAUGUAUUACAUGUUUAUUUUUACAACAUACAUAUAGAUAAAUAUUGAAAAUGUUGCUCUAGUUAUUGUUUUGGAAUAAAUAAAUAUUGCAAAAAAAAACAAAACAAUACAUCUGAAAUGUAAUUCAAAUAUAUAGGCCUAUGUAUGUUGACCAAGAGUGUAGAGAUUCAUCAGUUUAGCUUUAACCCUCAAACAUAAGCUUUUGUCUUUUUUAUAAUUUCAUGGCUAUCAGUUUAUAGCAAACAUUCAGGGUGGCAUGAUGUCUAACACUUUGUCCUAACCAGACAUGACGUGGCACAUGAUAAAAGGUGUCUGUCCUAUGUUAAUCUGAGUUUUUUUAACAAAACUCUAAUAUAGUAUUUAAAUGUAUUGGAAAAUAUAAUAUGACACCGCUGCAAACUGACCUUUACAAAGUGAACACCACUUUACCAUAAACGAGACCAAACGCUGAACAAUAUAAAUGACUAAAAAGA